GAAGGGAACAAUCCUGAGUAAAGUGGCGUACGGGUGAGUAACGCGUAGGUAAUCUACCCCAGAGUCUGGAAUAACCUGCCGAAAGGCGGGCUAAUACUGGAUAGAGCGACGGAAUCCGUAAUUGGGUUUUUCGGGAAAGGGAGGAAGCAAUUCCCUUUGCUCUGGGAUGAGCCUGCGUCUCAUUAGCUAGUUGGUGGGGUAACGGCCCACCAAGGCAUUGAUGGGUAGCUGGUCUGAGAGGAUGAUCAGCCACACUGGAACUGAAACACGGUCCAGACUCCUACGGGAGGCAGCAGUGGGGAAUCUUGCGCAAUGGACGAAAGUCUGACGCAGCCACGCCGCGUGAGUGAAGAAGGCCUUCGGGUUGUAAAGCUCUGUCGAGCGGGACGAAAAGUUUUUAGGUGAAUAGCCUAGAAAUCUGACGGUACCGCUAAAGGAAGCACCGGCUAACUCCGUGCCAGCAGCCGCGGUAAUACGGAGGGUGCAAGCGUUGCUCGGAAUUAUUGGGCGUAAAGGGUAGGUAGGUGGUCUCAUUUGUCUGGGGUGAAAGCCUUGAGCUUAACUCAAGAAGUGCCCCAGAAACGGUGAGACUGGAGUCCUGGAGAGGGUCGUGGAAUUCCCGGUGUAGCGGUGAAAUGCGUAGAGAUCGGGAGGAACACCAGAGGCGAAAGCGGCGACCUGGACAGGUACUGACACUCAACUACGAAAGCGUGGGGAGCAAACAGGAUUAGAUACCCUGGUAGUCCACGCUGUAAACGAUGGGUACUAGGUUUGGUGGGUCU
rnacentral:rRNA from 1 species